rnacentral:rRNA from 1 species
UUUUUUGAGAGUUUGAUCCUGGCUCAGGAUGAACGCUGGCGGCGUGCCUUAGGCAUGCAAGUCGAACGGUUCUGCAUUGCAGAACAGUGGCGGAAGGGUGAGUAACGCGUGGGAACGUACCAUUUGGUGGAGCAUAGCCUUCCGAAAGGAGGGGUAAUUCUCCGUAACCCCAAGGUUUCGCCUUGGGAAAUUCCAAUGACCAAGUACCAAAUUUCAAACAAUAUCAAAAGUUUCAAUGUUCAAAUUAAAAACUUGGAAUUUUGAGAUUUACUAUUUGUUUGUUAUUUGGAAUUUGUGAUUUUGAAUUUUUCAAAGCGAAGCUUUGGGUAUAGGGCUUAACCGCCCGCCAUUUGAGCGGCCUACGUCCUAUCAGCUUGUUGGUGGGGUAAAGGCCUACCAAGGCGAUGACGGGUAGCUGGACUGAGAGGUCGGCCAGCCACAAGGGAACUGAGACACGGUCCCUACACCUACGGGUGGCAGCAACCGGGAAUU